rnacentral:tRNA from 1 species
GCCGAAGUAGCUCAGUUGGCAGAGCACGUUCUUGGUAAGAACGGGGUCUUGGGUUCGAUUCCCAACUUCGGCU